CAGUAAAUUCAUCACAAUGAUACUGCAAAUAUGUCAAUAGGGAUAUUUUUACUAUAGAUAUCAUAUUGAAACUUCAGUAAGUCGUAAGUACACAAAUCCAAUGAGACGUGUGCAGUACAAACAGUUCAUCUAUCCCAAGUUUCAAACAUCAUAACAGAAUAGCAGUAAUUUAAGUUUUGCAGAUGGCAGAAUGAUUAUUCAGGUUGGACCUCAAUUAUUCAUGCAUACAAAAUG
rnacentral:misc_RNA from 1 species